CACAGGCACCACUGCCACAUCACUGUGCUUCUCAUCUCAGACCUCUCCUCUCUCUCUUUUCUGUAGCAGUCCAUUCCUUCUUGUCUUUCCGCUUGCUCUCUGGUCCUCUUCCCUUUUGACUGUCCAAAUUAGAGAGUAUCCAUCUUGUCAGGAAUGGAGUCUGAGGAGGGAAGAAGAGACAGUUCAGUAGUCUAACUUAACUCAUUAAAGGCGCUGGUGAUGAGACAUGGCAGACUUCUUCCAUCUGUGCCAAUUCAGCCUAAAUUUCUUGAGUUCUCUUCUGAAGGAGGCCUUGUGUGGUGAGAACUGUGAAUGUGGAGUGCUUAGAGAUGUAUCAGGUGAUUGUGAGGAACGUAUCUAGAUUCAAAUUGAUGAGAGAGAAGGGAGACUUCAUAAUUAUAAUGAAAGACGACAAAGCAAGGUGAAAUUUGCUGUGACAGUGGUUACUCUUGGAAUCUUUUUCUAUAUCUGUGAAAUUCACAUGAAAAUUAAAUAAAUUUGAAGGAAACUUUCCUGGGA